CUUAGAGUUUGAUCCUGGCUCAGGACGAACCCUUGCGGCGUGCCUAACACAUGCAAGUCGAGCGAAUGAAAUUCCUUCGGGAACGGAUUUAGCGGCGGACGGGUGAGUAACACGUGGGCAACCUGCCUCAUAGAGGGGAAUAGCCUUCCGAAAGGGAGAUUAAUACCGCAUAAGAUUGUAGUACCGCAUGGUACAGCAAUUAAAGGAGCAAUCCGCUAUGAGAUGGGCCCGCGGCGCAUUAGCUAGUUGGUGAGGUAACGGCUCACCAAGGCGACGAUGCGUAGCCGACCUGAGAGGGUGAUCGGCCACAUUGGGACUGAGACACGGCCCAGACUCCUACGGGAGGCAGCAGUGGGGAAUAUUGCACAAUGGGGGAAACCCUGAUGCAGCAACGCCGCGUGAGUGAUGACGGCCUUCGGGUUGUAAAGCUCUGUCUUCAGGGACGAAAAUGACGGUACCUCCAGAACAAGCCACGGCUAACUACGUGCCAGCAGCCGCGGUAAUACGUAGGUGGCAAGCGUUAUCCGGAUUUACUGGGUGUAAAGGGCGCGCAGGCGGCCCCAAAAGUCAGAUGUGAAAGAUCAAGGCUUAACUUUGACAUGUCAUCUGAAACUUUGGGACUUGAGUAUCAGAGGGGAAAGCGGAAUUCCUGGUGGAGCGGUAAAAUGCGCAGAGAUCAGGAGGAACACCGGUGGCGAAGGCGGCUUUCUGGCUGACAACUGACGCUGAGGCGCGAAAGCGUGGGGAGCAAACAGAAGGAGAUACCCUGGUAGUCCACGCCGUAAACGAUGAUUACUGGGUGUAGGGGGUAUCGACUCCCUCUGUGCCGAAGCUAACGCGAUAAGUAAUCCACCUGGGGAGUACGGCCGCAAGGCUAAAACUCAAAGGAAUUGACGGGGGCCCGCACAAGCAGUGGAGUAUGUGGUUUAAUUCGAGGCAACGCGAAGAACCUUACCAGGGUUUGACAUCCCGCGCUCGGGGUAGAGAUACCCUUUUCCCUUCGGGGACGCGGAGACAGGUGGUGCAUGGUUGUCGUCAGCUCGUGUCGUGAGAUGUUCGGUUAAGUGCCAUAACGAGCGCAACCCUCAUCAUUAGUUACCAUCAGGUUAAGCUGGGGACUCUAAUGAGACUGCCAUCGUAAGAUGCGAGGAAGGUGGGGAUGACGUCAAAUCAGCACGGCCCUUACGUCCGGGGCGACACACGUGUUACAAUGGGUGGUACAAAGGGCAGCUACAUGGCGACAUGAUGCUAAUCUCCAAAACCACUCUCAGUUCGGAUCGGAGUCUGCAACUCGACUUCGUGAAGCUGGAUUCGCUAGUAAUCGCGCAUCAGCCACGGCGCGGUGAAUACGUUCCCGGGCCUUGUACACGCCGCCCGUCA
rnacentral:rRNA from 1 species